CCUGGCUCAGGACGAACGCUGGCGGCGUGCCUAAUACAUGCAAGUCGAGCGGACCGACGGGAGCUUGCUCCCUUAGGUCAGCGGCGGACGGGUGAGUAACACGUGGGUAACCUGCCUGUAAGACUGGGAUAACUCCGGGAAACCGGGGCUAAUACCGGAUGCUUGUUUGAACCGCAUGGUUCAAACAUAAAAGGUGGCUUUUCGCUACCACUUACAGAUGGACCCGCGGCGCAUUAGCUAGUUGGUGGGGUAACGGCUCACCAAGGCGACGAUGCGUAGCCGACCUGAGAGGGUGAUCGGCCACACUGGGACUGAGACACGGCCCAGACUCCUACGGGAGGCAGCAGUAGGGAAUCUUCCGCAAUGGACGAAAGUCUGACGGAGCAACGCCGCGUGAGUGAUGAAGGUUUUCGGAUCGUAAAACUCUGUUGUUAGGGAAGAACAAGUACCGUUCGAACAGGGCGG
rnacentral:rRNA from 1 species